rnacentral:rRNA from 1 species
UACGUAGGGUGCAGGCGUUAAUCGGAAUUACUGGGCGUAAAGCGGGCGCAGGCGGCUUCCUAAGUCAGAUGUGAAAUCCCCGGGCUUAACCUGGGAACUGCGUUUGAAACUGGGAGGCUAGAGUGCGGCAGAGGGAGGUGGAAUUCCACGUGUAGCAGUGAAAUGCGUAGAUAUGUGGAGGAACACCGAUGGCGAAGGCAGCCUCCUGUGCCAGCACUGACGCUCAUGCACGAAAGCGUGGGGAGCAAACAGG